UUACAGCAGAAAAGUCUAGAACGGCAAUUAAUGUGUUGAACAAAUGCCUAAUCAGAAUCGUUGAAAUCUGUCGUAUCAUCUGUCCAUCAUUUCUCUAUUCUUGUUUGAUGAUUUCAAUAGUCAGGAAAACCUUUUCUUUCAAAAACUUAUCUUUUCUUUGAAGCUUUCCUCUCUUUUUACCUUCAUCUCUGAAACAUUUCUUAAUUUGGUUCACGCACCCCGUCAAUCUUCUUUUGAUUUUCAGUAUACUCAGGGACAUUCAUUUCUAGGUACACCUCCUCUUUUCUUUUUAAAGUUUCCGUUGCGAAUAUAUGAGCAAAGACAUUUACAGAUCUCGAUAUAUGUUUGAACAUGAAAUUACUAGAUUCAUUUAUUCUCUGUUGAAUAUCAUAUAUAUAUAUAUGCUCCUAUCAGUGAUCGAUCUUGACUCUUGGUUUUACAUUUCUUGAUUAUUGCGAGGGAAUCUCCUUCGAUGAUGAUUGUCGGCCAUUUCUUUUGAAUCCCUAUUUGGACUGCUUUCUAGCAUGCAAUUGCUUCAGCAGCCAAGGCAAAGGUAAUCCCUUGAUGGAUUUCUGAGCAAGAUAAAAGAACUUUUCCUUCUUCAUUUCGGACCAUAAUACCUGAAGCUGAAUGAUUUUGACUCCAAUCAUACGCACCAUCGAAGUUGAUUUUAAUGAACUCACAAGAAUGCACAGCAGAAAAGGCGACAAUGACAAGGGGUAAACUGAUCAAACACCCAGGACAUUCACAAAAUAAAUGAUUGAUUAUGUCAGCUCUUUCUCCACAUCGAGGGCAACUUGUGUUGCUUGCUAAUUUUCUGUGCUGCAUGUUCACCUUUGUAGGCAAAUAAUUCCAUGAAAAUCUCCAGAUUGUAGUCUUGAUUUUUGUUGGUAGAUUUAGAAGCCAAAGUUUUUUGUAAAAUUUCCUGAAGAUGGUUUGUAAAGCGUAAGCUCUAGGAUUUUCAUCAGAACUUUGUAAUAGUUUAUAGGCACUACGAACCAAAAAUUCACCCGAAGAUUCACCUCCCUAGAUAAGGAAAUCAUCAUGGGGUUGUAACAGCCCGUCUUUAGGUCAAAUUAGAACAGUGGUUUCAAGACCAUAAAUUUGAAGUCAAAAUAUUUAUUUUAUUAUUUUAAUAA